rnacentral:rRNA from 1 species
ACGGAGGAUCCGAGCGUUAUCCGGAUUUAUUGGGUUUAAAGGGUGCGUAGGCGGAUGUUUAAGUCAGUGGUGAAAGUUUGCAGCUUAACUGUAAAAUUGCCGUUGAAACUGAAUGUCUUGAGUGUAAAUGAGGUAGGCGGAAUGUGUUGUGUAGCGGUGAAAUGCUUAGAUAUAACACAGAACACCAAUUGCGAAGGCAGCUUACUGGGAUACAACUGACGCUGAGGCACGAAAGCGUGGGGAUCAAACAG